rnacentral:rRNA from 1 species
AACGAACGCUGGCGGCAGGCUUAACACAUGCAAGUCGAACGCACCUUUCGGGGUGAGUGGCCGACGGGUGAGUAACGCGUGGGAAUCUACCCUUCUCUACGGGAUAGCUCCGGGAAACUGGAAUUAAUACCGUAUACGUCCUGAGGGAGAAAGAUUUAUCGGGGAAGGAUGAGCCGGCGUUGGAUUAGCUAGUUGGUGGGGUAAAGGCCUACCAAGGCGACGAUCCAUAGCUGGUCUAAGAGGAUGAUCAGCCACAUUGGGACUGAGACACGGCCCAAACUCCUACGGGAGGCAGCAGUGGGGAAUAUUGGACAAUGGGCGCAAGCCUGAUCCAGCCAUGCCGCGUGAGUGAUGAAGGCCCUAGGGUUGUAAAGCUCUUUCAGUGGGGACGAUAAUGACGGUACCCACAGAAGAAGCCCCGGCUAACUUCGUG